AGUGAACGCUGGCGGUAGGCCUAACACAUGCAAGUCGAACGGCAGCACAGAGGAGCUUGCUCCUUGGGUGGCGAGUGGCGGACGGGUGAGGAAUACAUCGGAAUCUACUCUGUCGUGGGGGAUAACGUAGGGAAACUUACGCUAAUACCGCAUACGACCUACGGGUGAAAGCAGGGGAUCUUCGGACCUGGCGCGGUUGAAUGAGCCGAUGUCGGAUUAGCUAGUUGGCGGGGUAAAGGCCCACAAAGGCGACGAUCCGUAGCUGGUCUGAGAGGAUGAUCAGCCACACUGGAACUGAGACACGGUCCAGACUCCUACGGGAGGCAGCAGUGGGGAAUAUUGGACAAUGGGCGCAAGCCUGAUCCAGCCAUACCGCGUGGGUGAAGAAGGCCUUCGGGUUGUAAAGCCCUUUUGUUGGGAAAGAAAUCCAUCUGGUUAAUACCCGGGUGGGAUGACGGUACCCAAAGAAUAAGCACCGGCUAACUUCGUGCCAGCCGCCGCCGUAA
rnacentral:rRNA from 1 species